rnacentral:misc_RNA from 1 species
GAUGAAGAACGCAGCGAAAUGCGAUACGUAGUGUGAAUUGCAGAAUUCAGUGAAUCAUCGAAUCUUUGAACGCACAUUGCACCUCUCGGUAUUCCGGGAGGUAUGCCUGUCCGAGCGUCAUUUGUACCCUCAAGCUCUGCUUGGUGUUGGGUGUUUGUUCCGCCUCUGUGUGUGAACUCGCCUCAAAACAAUUGGCAGCCGGCGUACUUGUUUCGGAGCGCAGCACAUUUUGCGAUCCAGAUCAACGUACAGCGGCAUCCAAGAAGCCUUAUUUAACGCUCUUGACCUCGGAUCAGGUAGGGAUACCCGCUGAACUUAAGCAUAUCAAUAAGCGGAGGA